UACAGAGACUGCAAGCGUUAUUCGGAUUCACUGGGCGUAAAGGGUGCGCAGGCGGCCAAGUGUGUGAGGCGUGAAAGCCUGGAGCUUAACUCCAGAAUUGCACCUCAAACUACAUGGCUAGAGCAUUGGAGAGGGUAGCGGAAUUCACGGUGUAGCAGUGAAAUGCGUAGAUAUCGUGAGGAACACCAGAGGCGAAGGCGGCUACCUGGACAAUUACUGACGCACAGGCACGAAAGCGUGUGGAGCAAAAGGG
rnacentral:rRNA from 1 species